UCAACCUUUAAUUAAUUUAUAUGUUUUCUUUGCUUCAUGCAGAGAUGGAGAUAGUCGACAAGGUGGGAGGGAGGACAGCACACCCCAGCAAGCAACAUCUAGGAGGUCAAAUAUCUGUAGAUCUCAUCCAAUCCUCAAAGGAAUCAUUUUGAUGACCUGGGCAAGGAAGUUCGCUGUGGUUUGUAGUGAGAUGAGGGUAAUUUUGAGUCUAGAUAAUUUUGGUAAUUGAUAGUGACUUGUGUAUUUAGAUGCAUGGGUUUACUCGAGGAUUAUAUUGUAGGUAAUGAAUUUGCUUAUCUCGGAGAUAAGCCAUUUUAUUUCUUAUGAAAAUGAGAUGUUGCUUUUGAUGUAUGUGCUAAGAUGAGUUGGCAAAAUAUAUGGUUAAUUAACUGUAUGUGUGCAUAAUUUAAAAUUGAUUGAUAUAA